rnacentral:rRNA from 1 species
UUAAGCGACUAAGCGUACACGGUGGAUGCCCUGGCAGUCAGAGGCGAUGAAGGACGUGCUAAUCUGCGAUAAGCGUCGGUAAGGUGAUAUGAACCGUUAUAACCGGCGAUUUCCGAAUGGGGAAACCCAGUGUGUUUCGACACACUAUCAUUAACUGAAUCCAUAGGUUAAUGAGGCGAACCGGGGGAACUGAAACAUCUAAGUACCCCGAGGAAAAGAAAUCAACCGAGAUUCCCCCAGUAGCGGCGAGCGAACGGGGAGCAGCCCAGAGCCUGAAUCAGUGUGUGUGUUAGUGGAAGCGUCUGGAAAGGCGCGCGAUACAGGGUGACAGCCCCGUACACAAAAAUGCACAUACUGUGAGCUCGAUGAGUAGGGCGGGACACGUGGUAUCCUGUCUGAAUAUGGGGGGACCAUCCUCCAAGGCUAAAUACUCCUGACUGACCGAUAGUGAACCAGUACCGUGAGGGAAAGGCGAAAAGAACCCCGGCGAGGGGAGUGAAAAAGAACCUGAAACCGUGUACGUACAAGCAGUGGGAGCACAGAGCAAUCUGUGUGACUGCGUACCUUUUGUAUAAUGGGUCAGCGACUUAUAUUCUGUAGCAAGGUUAACCGAAUAGGGGAGCCGAAGGGAAACCGAGUCUUAACUGGGCGUUAAGUUGCAGGGUAUAGACCCGAAACCCGGUGAUCUAGCCAUGGGCAGGUUGAAGGUUGGGUAACACUAACUGGAGGACCGAACCGACUAAUGUUGAAAAAUUAGCGGAUGACUUGUGGCUGGGGGUGAAAGGCCAAUCAAACCGGGAGAUAGCUGGUUCUCCCCGAAAGCUAUUUAGGUAGCGCCUCGUGAAUUCAUCUCCGGGGGUAGAGCACUGUUUCGGCAAGGGGGUCAUCCCGACUUACCAACCCGAUGCAAACUGCGAAUACCGGAGAAUGUUAUCACGGGAGACACACGGCGGGUGCUAACGUCCGUCGUGAAGAGGGAAACAACCCAGACCGCCAGCUAAGGUCCCAAAGUCAUGGUUAAGUGGGAAACGAUGUGGGAAGGCCCAGACAGCCAGGAUGUUGGCUUAGAAGCAGCCAUCAUUUAAAGAAAGCGUAAUAGCUCACUGGUCGAGUCGGCCUGCGCGGAAGAUGUAACGGGGCUAAACCAUGCACCGAAGCUGCGGCAGCGACGCUUAUGCGUUGUUGGGUAGGGGAGCGUUCUGUAAGCCUGUGAAGGUGUACUGUGAGGCAUGCUGGAGGUAUCAGAAGUGCGAAUGCUGACAUAAGUAACGAUAAAGCGGGUGAAAAGCCCGCUCGCCGGAAGACCAAGGGUUCCUGUCCAACGUUAAUCGGGGCAGGGUGAGUCGACCCCUAAGGCGAGGCCGAAAGGCGUAGUCGAUGGGAAACAGGUUAAUAUUCCUGUACUUGGUGUUACUGCGAAGGGGGGACGGAGAAGGCUAUGUUGGCCGGGCGACGGUUGUCCCGGUUUAAGCGUGUAGGCUGGUUUUCCAGGCAAAUCCGGAAAAUCAAGGCUGAGGCGUGAUGACGAGGCACUACGGUGCUGAAGCAACAAAUGCCCUGCUUCCAGGAAAAGCCUCUAAGCAUCAGGUAACAUCAAAUCGUACCCCAAACCGACACAGGUGGUCAGGUAGAGAAUACCAAGGCGCUUGAGAGAACUCGGGUGAAGGAACUAGGCAAAAUGGUGCCGUAACUUCGGGAGAAGGCACGCUGAUAUGUAGGUGAAGUCCCUCGCGGAUGGAGCUGAAAUCAGUCGAAGAUACCAGCUGGCUGCAACUGUUUAUUAAAAACACAGCACUGUGCAAACACGAAAGUGGACGUAUACGGUGUGACGCCUGCCCGGUGCCGGAAGGUUAAUUGAUGGGGUCAGCGCAAGCGAAGCUCUUGAUCGAAGCCCCGGUAAACGGCGGCCGUAACUAUAACGGUCCUAAGGUAGCGAAAUUCCUUGUCGGGUAAGUUCCGACCUGCACGAAUGGCGUAAUGAUGGCCAGGCUGUCUCCACCCGAGACUCAGUGAAAUUGAACUCGCUGUGAAGAUGCAGUGUACCCGCGGCAAGACGGAAAGACCC